rnacentral:sRNA from 1 species
AGUCAAAAAAAUGCGUUCAUUGUGAUUGGUUCGAUUUCAAGUUUCGUCGAUUUCAUGUGAAUUUUAAUUAAAAGCAAAGAACAAAAAGAAACUACAAAUUCUAAUUGUAAACAAUAUUUUCAACUUUACUCCAAUUAGAAAAUUGUUCUCCAAGUGAAACAGUGAAAAGAGAGAGAGAGAGAGAAAUACAGAAAAAAAAUUCUCAGUGGUGUUCUGUCCCCGUGAGAGAGUGAGAGAAAGAGUGUGUGCGCUUGUGUUGUUAUUGUUGCGUGUGUGCAGUGCACUUAAGAAAAAAAAAAAAUAAACCCAGCAACAAAUUCUUUAGCGAAGUGUGAAGUAAUUCGUAAAAACAACAAAAACCAAACGACGUCAGCAGCAUUAUUCAUGCCAAAGGCGUAAGAAGCGGCACCGACGAAAAAUAAUUAAAUAAACAAUUAAAUAAAUUUUAAGUUCCUUCAAAAGAAAACAA